GUUGGAGUUUACUUCCAUGUAUUCCUGAGAGAGUGAUCCAGUCUCCUCCUCAUCGACAAUACCCUCAAAUAGAUGCACCUUAUAGACAAUGAAAACAAUGCCCCGUUCAUAUCAAGGUGCACAUGAAGAAAAACUGAGCUGUGGCUGGCUUUUCUGCCUCUGGCUCUGUGCCCGGGGUCGCAGCGGACGCGUCGCCCACCUGAGCGAGCUGGAAGAGUUUCAUCAUCUUUUCUUUAGUCUCCAACAAUGUCUCCUUCACUCCCUUCUCCAGGAUGUAUCCCUCUGUCUCGAUCUCCAUAUUCUCCUGACCCAGCACACCCUCCAUUGCAGUCUGCAGAUAGCGCAGACUCACUAGAAUGGACAUCUGAGGACCAAGGAGAUAUAGAGAAACGGAUGCCGUUCUUCAGCCCAAUCUUCAAAGACUCCUCCAGGCUGGGCUGCAGGGCAAAGCUCAGAAUCAUGGCGACCAGCAGCAGGGAGGAGAAGAAGACAGAAAUGCAGAAGAAUGGAGGAAGAAUCGUCUUCCAGCGUGGG